rnacentral:rRNA from 1 species
CCUACGGGUGGCUGCAGUCGAGAAUCUUUCGCAAUGGGCGCAAGCCUGACGAAGCGACGCCGUGUGAGCGAAGAAGGCCUUCGGGUUGUAAAGCUCUUUCGCUAGGGAACAAGAGAGGCGCGUGAAUAACGCGUUGAUUUGAUGGUACUUGGUAAAGAAGCACCGGCUAACUCCGUGCCAGCAGCUGCGGUAAUACGGAGGGUGCAAGCAUUGAUCGGAAUUACUGGAGGCGGCUAGGAAAGUCACAUCUGAAAUUCCGGGGCUCAACCCCGGAGCUGCAUUUGAAACUUCCUGACUAGAGGUCAGUUAGGGAAAACGGAAUUCCACGUGUAGCGGUGAAAUGCGUAGAUAUGUGGAAGAACACCGGUGGUGAAGACGGUUUUCUGGGCUGAUACUGACGCUGAGGCGCGAAAGCAAGGGGAGCAAACAGGAUUAGAUACCCCUGUAGUC